rnacentral:rRNA from 1 species
UACAUAGGGGGCAAGCGUUAUCCGGAAUUAUUGGGUGUAAAGGGUGCGUAGACGGGAAAUUAAGUUAGUUGUGAAAUACCUUGGCUCAACUAAGGAACUGCAACUAAAACUGGUUUUCUUGAGUACAGGAGAGGAGAGUGGAAUUCCUAGUGUAGCGGUGAAAUGCGUAGAUAUUAGGAGGAACACCAGUGGCGAAGGCGACUUUCUGGACAGAAACUGACGUUGAGGCACGAAAGUGUGGGGAGCAAACA